ACGACGUGACGUAGGUCUAAGUGGUCACCUCGCCGGCAAAAGGUCAAUGUACGGUUGGACCAUACCCUUUCCUUGAGCCCAUAGACAUACAUGUAGACUUAGUGGAGCGUGUAAAUCACAAUGAGAGACGGUAGCAUUGUUGGUCGCCGGCGAGCGGAGCCCAGCGAAACAGCUCGGACGAACUAACUACUUGAAUGGAGGAACAAGAACUCCGUCCAUGCUGGCUUUGGCACUGCUGUAUUUACUGCUGAUUUCACAGACGGCACUGGGAUGGUCUGACGUUCCUACUGACUGGAGCACACCCAAUGCUUUGUAUUCAUGGCUGAGGCCGUGAGGGGCAGCAAACCGUAUCGUCCUUACCAUCUGGGAUAUCAUGGACAUCAAAUCAAUAGCAUGACACUUACUCUAAGUAUUGAUGAUGAGAGUGACCGUCACUCAUUCCGUCUUGUUAUUCGACAACAGAAUCUUGCCGUGGAUCACGCCUAUCCACUUCAUGCUGCGCUCGACUGCACCGAGUUUUACACUCGGAGCACAGGGAGAUCCAUUGGAGAAGAGCCGCUCAGAACAAUGUGGUUCUUCAAGGGCAGUCGAUUGAUCUCAACCACUUCUCUCGGGCCCAAUUGCUCAGCUACACUCUCACUAGGGGAGGGAAACAGAAUACUUCAAAUCUCAGAUAUGCUAGCUUCCGACUAUCAGACCUACACUCAUGAGGUUGACGGUGUCUAUCGAUGUGAGAUGCGCAGGAGAACACAACUCAUCUACUCGGCUACCAUAGAAGUGCACUUUGAUAAGGACUGGAGACCGGAGAAUGCAGUGGCCGUGAUCCUUGCAUGCAGAACGCCAUCCCACACCCCCACACCAGGAUGCUGGAAGACCAGAACCUCACCACACCCAGGGCCACUUCAGACGGGGAAUGGGUAACAUGAGAAUUUGAAAGGCGUUGAAGGACCAGUUGUGCUGGGUUCCUUUGUGUUCCCUUUCAACAGUACGGUUCAAUCACUACCCCCCACUUUGUUAGCUAAUUAUUGAACCUUGAGUACUAGCCACUACUGCCACUAGAUGGGACUUCUCACAGACUGUCUCCGUGCACCCCUCUGCACAGAAGUAUCACUUGGAUCAUUGAACACCAGUCAUCAGCCAAAACCAUGGAAACACCAGCCACUGCAGAAAGCCUAAGUUAUGAUAUAAUUUUAAGUGCGCAAUGUCAAAGAUAAUUAUAACGUUUCAUUUUGGCCACA